rnacentral:rRNA from 1 species
UACGUAGGGGGCAAGCGUUGUCCGGAUUCAUUGGGCGUAAAGCGCGUGUAGGCGGCCAGGUAGGUCUGGUGUGAAAACUUGAGGCUCAACCUCAAGAGGUCAUCGGAAACCAUCUGGCUAGAGUCCGGAAGAGGAGAGUGGAAUUCCCGGUGUAGCGGUGGAAUGCGCAGAUAUCAGGAAGAACACCCGUGGCGAAGGCGGCUCUCUGGAACGCAACUGACGCUGAGACGCGAAAGCGUGGGGAGCAAACAGG